rnacentral:rRNA from 1 species
UACGGGGGGGGCAAGCGUUGUUCGGAAUUACUGGGCGUAAAGGGCUCGUAGGCGGCCAACUAAGUCGGACGUGAAAUCCCUCGGCUUAACCGAGGAACUGCGUCCGAUACUGGAUGGCUUGAGUGUGGGAGAGGGAUGCGGAAUUCCAGGUGUAGCGGUGAAAUGCGUAGAUAUCUGGAGGAACACCGGUGGCGAAGGCGGCAUCCUGGACCGGCAUUGACGCUGAGGCGCGAAAGCCAGGGGAGCAAACGGG